AAUUAAAUUACCACAAUGUUUUGAACAACACCAAUUAAUUUCUUUUUCAAUCGUUUUAUAAUA
rnacentral:misc_RNA from 1 species